UGAGUAUAACGUGGGUAACUUGCCUUCGAGUGGGGAAUAACCCUCCGAAAGGAGGGCUAAUACCGCAUAAUAUCCGACUCACACAAGUGAGAUGGAUCAAAGGUGGCCUCUGUUUCAUGCUGCCGCUUGAAGAUAGGCCCGCGCCCCAUUAGCUAGUUGGUGAGGUAACGGCUCACCAAGGCUGCGAUGGGUAGCCGACCUGAGAGGGUGAUCGGCCACACUGGGACUGAGACACGGCCCAGACUCCUACGGGAGGCAGCAGUGAGGAAUUUUCCGCAAUGGGCGAAAGCCUGACGGAGCGACGCCGCGUGCGUAGAUUGAAGGCCUUCGGGUCGUAAAUCGCUGUUCGGAGAGGGCGAACUGUCUAUGUGUUAAUACCACAUAGAUUUGACGGUACUCUCCAAGGAAGCCCCGGCUAACUCCGUGCCAGCAGCCGCGGUAAUACGGGGGGGGCAAGCGUUGCUCGGAAU
rnacentral:rRNA from 1 species